rnacentral:lncRNA from 1 species
CCUCUUCAGGACCUGGAAUGCAGACACUUGGAAAAUGACUUGGUGAAUGGAAAAAAAGCUGAGAAUUGGAAGGGAACUAACAGGAAAAUUAGAAGCUACAGAGAAGCUGGAGAAAUGGAGCACAAUGCAGAGAAAAGAACAAAGCAGUCUAAGUUCUCUGCACGUACAGGAACUUCUGGGAGAAGCAAUGGACCUGGUCAGCAGUGCUAGUUCUAAGAAAAGCCCACAGGCUUCUUUUGAUCAGCCUCUUGAAGUGGUCACCACUAGGAACCCAAUCAUGAGCUGUACAAAGGCGGCUGACCCAGUUCAUCCUGGCUUUGCUGGUUUGCUGAUGAAAAACAAGAAUCUUUUAUCUGAGCUAAGAACUCUCCAAAGAAAGCUUUUCAGAGAAGAGACUUUGUUGCAAGAGACAAAGACUGAACUAACAAGGUACAAAGAACAACAGUCGUUCCAGAUCAUGUCCCUGAGAGAUGAUGUCAAGGACCUACAGGAACUUAUUACAUCCCUAACCAGAAUUAAGUCUUUGAAAAACUCCUGUAUUCAGAGUCUUGAAAGAGGCAACUGGGAUCUAACUAAACGAGUUACAGAACUAGAAAAUUUUCUAAGAGAAAAAGGAGAGCAAAAAACAGACUUUUUGAUGAACAAGUUGUCACAUACGAGCAGAUUCCCUCCUGUGAAUAUAAAAGGAUAAGAAGAUUCUUUGGAUAUUUUUCUAGCGAAGGAUAAGGGCAAAGCAUUCCUGGCCAGAAAAUUUGAGAGAGAGAUUAUUCACUCUGAAGGACCAAAUGAUGGGCAGAAAAUUGGAAUAAAUGUCAACAAGAUUUGUUCCAUGAAGAAAAACAAACAUCUGAGUUAGAUAGACCUCCAUAUUUAUGCACCCAAGGAGUUAAAACUGCGCAAUCCCAAUAUCAGGAUCUGCUCAGUCAGCUGGCUGCUCUUCUGAGUGACAGCAGUGGCCCCAUCCCAGCCACAGAGGACACUGUGAAAGAGAGGAUUCAAGAAAUUGGUGCAAAUGAACAAUCACGGAAAUCU